UGCAUGGCUGUCGUCAGCUCGUGCCGUGAGAUGUUGGGUUAAGUCCGUAACGAGCGCAACCCUUGUCCUUAGUUACCAGCACGUUAUGGUGGGCACUCUAAGGAGACUGCCGGUGACAAACCGGAGGAAGGUGGGGAUGACGUCAAGUCAUCAUGGCCCUUACGGCCUGGGCUACACACGUGCUACAAUGGUCGGUACAAAGGGUUGCCAAGCCGCGAGGUGGAGCUAAUCCCAUAAAACCGAUCGUAGUCCGGAUCGCAGUCUGCAACUCGACUGCGUGAAGUCGGAAUCGCUAGUAAUCGUGAAUCAGAAUGUCACGGUGAAUACGUUCCCGGGCCUU
rnacentral:rRNA from 1 species